rnacentral:lncRNA from 1 species
UUGGAGAUGAGCCCAUUUAUAAUGAGUGUUGUUACUCUCCUGCUUGUAAAAAGUAAUGAGCAUUAGGUCUUUCAGUUAAAUUGGCAUGCUCCGUGCUAUUUCAGACCACUAUUAUAAAGAGAGCUCUAUUGCACAAUGAACUGUUCUCUUCUGUGCUUUAAACCACGUCCUCUCAGUACCCAAACUCAUUCAUUAUUUUUUACUUAAUUAGGCCAGCCUCCCAUUGCAAAGAAACCCAAAGAAAGGAAAUUUGGCUAAGAGCUAUGCAAACAUAACAUCUCACAAGCAUUGAAACAAUGUAGUUGUCUAAGAAAAAUAUCCUUAAGCAUAGGAUAGAAAUGUAGUUAUAAUUAGAAAGUUGUAUUGAAUGGCAUAUAUACACAGCACUAGUAAUCAACCCUAUAGUACAUAUAGAUAUGAACUUUAUAAACUUAUUUGUAGGGAAAUUGUUUUUAUAUAAAAACAUAUACUUGUAUUUGUGAUUUGACCACAUUCUUUAUACAUAACUGCAAAAUUUUGUAUGUUUUCUAGGCAUAAGUAGACAUGUUACAUAUGAUCAUACAGACUGCGUUUCAGAAUUAAUUCCUAGGGUACUCCUUUAUCUUAAAGAGAAGGUGUUUGGGCUGGAGAGAGAUGGCUCAGAGGUUAAGGGCACUGGCUGCUCCUCCAAAAGUCCUGAGUUCAAUUCUCAGCAACUACAUGGUGGCUCACAGCCACCUAUAAUGAGAUCUGGUGCCCUCUUCUGGCUUGCAAUCAUACAUGCAGGCAGCAUGCUGUAUACAUUAUAAAUAAAUAAAUAAAAUUUUUUAUAAAGAAGGAAAAAAAGGAAACUUCAUUAUUUAAAAAAACGUUCUUUUAAAACUUUACUCUGGCAUAUUGUUAAGAUAAAAUGGAAGAAUUUUUGUGGCAGUAUGCACAUUUAACAAACUAAACAUUAAAGGUAUUUAAUGGUUAGAUGUUCCAUGGGGCUAUAUUCAUCAUUUCUCAUUCUCUCUCUCUCUCUCUCUCUCUCUCUCUCUCUCUCUCUCUCUCUUUCUCUCUCUCUCUCACACACACACACACACACACACACACCGCUCCUUAUGGACUAUUAAUCUGACCACUUAGCAUUUCAAAAAGAUCUUAGAGGAGCUGUGGGAGUGGGCAGAGACCAUAGCUCUUCAGAUGACAGAGAAUCCUGUCCAGGAGUUCAUGCACUAAGCCCUCAAAGCAGAGAGUAGGUCGCAUUGAAGUGGCAAGCUGAAGACAGCUGGCAGAAACACGGUGUAAACACUGUGUGCCACGAGAGAUGUUAGACGUCACCAGCAAUGAGAAAGUCAGAACUGAUGGAGAGGUUAAGUAACUAACACUUGUUAUGUGACACACAAAAAGACACAUGUCUGUCAAUCAACUGAAUGAGGACUCAAGGUCUCCACACACUGUGCUUCCUAAUACAGUCCCCACUUACAGAUGCGAAGCUACAGUAAACUGUGUUGCUGCUGCCCAAAUAACACUAAAAUUUAGUAACGUAGGGAAAGGAAGUCUAAUAGCAUUACAAUGUUUUGGAAGAAUAGUUCAUUUCCAUAAGCUACUUAAAUUCAUACAGAACUUUCUCUGAAAGUUACUUUUAGUAAUCAUACUCGUUCUUGAUGAUCAUGGCUAAUUCCAUGAUCUCACUGUGUUCAUGAAAUGCUAAAGGUGGGGGAAGAAGGUUCAGGAAAAGAAACUGCAAUAACCUAAUAACCUCCAGUUACUGAAGCCUUUGCUUAAAAGGCUUGGAAUUUGGAAUAAUUUG